CACAGACAUCUGCCAUCAGCAGCUGUCCCCUCAUAACUCACCCAAACAACCCCAUUUUCUGGUCAGCAGGAGCUGCUCUGAUCAGAGGAUCAUGUCUGGGCAAAGGACUCUGGUGCCUGAGCUCUAGCUGUUAUACAUAAUAUUUACUAAGUUUCAGCAUGAUCAUACCUUAAAAUAUUUUUCUUUUCUUGAAGAAGGUGUUUUAACUGCUUUCUACUCUAAAACAGAAAAAUUAUGCUGAAGAACAAAUCUCCCAAGGACCACACACUUUCCAAAGUACCAGCAUCCUCCAAAUCCCCCAUCUGCUAAACUGAACAGACUUCAGCUUAGUAUUCAUUUUAAUUUCCGCACAAUGCCUGUCAUUCAGACACUUGAAGUUACACAAAAUUCCGUGAUUAGUAGUAUGAUAGUGAUAGAAACUGAGAAGAGUUUGUGAAACCCCUAUAGUGAGUUAUUUUUUGCUCAGUGCAAAUUGAAAUGGCUGUAGCACUCUAUAACACCAAAAGGAAAAUGUGGAUAACUCCCCUCUGCUUUUCCUUACAGACUUAAUAUAUUCUCUAGCUUAAUUGUGAUAUUUUAUUUAAACAUUCAGA